CUCGUCUCACCGGUCACCACGACGGCGGAGCAAGCCGCCAUUGAUUCCGCCGCCGCCGCCGCCGCUGUAGAGCUCCUCCGCAAUCGUUUCCUAUGAAGUUCCCCUUUCUGUGAUACCUGAAACGACACCACUGGAAGUUUGUAAUGCAAUGGGAAAUUCCUAAACCAGUCUUUAGUAAGGAACCAUACUUCUGUUCUGGAUCUGUCAGGAAGUUGAAAUUUGUGAUUACCUGGAUUGAGACUGAGCUGAUCUGAAAGAAAGCAAUAAGGCCAAGAGGUCUGCUGUUCACUCUUUUCUUUUUUUUUUUUAUUCAUACCGAAUUGUUAGCUUUAUCGAACUUAUUUUGAACCCUUCCGGACACCCAUCCUUAAAAUCUUGAGGGAUGGUAAAUUGUGACCCAGGUUUUUAUCAAUUAGUUGUAUACCUGUGCACAAAAAGCUCUCUCUUUACACUCAGCUCA